rnacentral:rRNA from 1 species
GAUGAACGCUGGCGGCGUGCCUAAUACAUGCAAGUCGAGCGAACGGACGAGAAGCUUGCUUCUCUGAUGUUAGCGGCGGACGGGUGAGUAAAACGUGGAUAACCUACCUAUAAGACUGGGAUAACUUCGGGAAACCGGAGCUAAUACCGGAUAAUAUUUUGAACCGCAUGGUUCAAAAGUGAAAGAAGGUCUUGCUGUCACUUAUAGAUGGAUCCGCGCUGCAUUAGCUAGUUGGUAAGGUAACGGCUUACCAAGGCAACGAUGCAUAGCCGACCUGAGAGGGUGAUGGUCCACACUGGAACUGAGACACUGUCCAGACUCCUACGGGAGGCCGCAGUAUGGAAUCUUCCGCAAUAGGCGAAAGCCUGACGGAGCAACGCCGCGUGAGUGAUGAAGGUCUUCGGAUCGUAAAACUCUGUUAUUAGGGAAGAACAUAUGUGUAAGUAACUGUGCACAUCUUGACGGUACCUAAUCAGAAAGCCACGGCUAACUACGUG